AGCUUGAAACGGCUUUACAGACAGUGCAUAAUUGGAAACCACUUAAUUAGCAUGCUUCUUCCUGUUUCCUCAUUCCUCAUCUUGUGAUGUGAGAAAUGAAACGGAGCUUGUAGAUCUCCCUGCUGGCAGCGGGUUAGCUCACAGCCAGACGCAACCAGUGACUCAGUAUGAUACACUGCUCAGGGUUUCCACCAACUGUCCCAUAGUUACUGGGUAUCAAGAAACACCAUUUUAGAAGAAAAUUCUUGGAGGAGUAAUGACCCAUCUGACAAGCAAGCGAGUUUAUGGAGUUCAUGAGCUGAUUCAUGUCUUGGGAAACAAGGCUGGCAUCUGAACACAGGACCUGAUUUUUGAGAGAUGGAGAACUCCCACUGGCCUCCAGGCCGAGAGCUGGUCGCAGUGCUCUGCAGCAAUGCAGCACUGCUUUGGAGUGAGAGCAGCACGUACGGGACCUUCGGCGACAGAUUUCAAUCGAGGGCACUGAAGACAAAGCGCUGGAGGCGUAUCGGUUCUUGGUCAAACAGACUACUCUCUUCUGUAGCGCUCCACCCUAAAUUAGUAUCAAAUCUUCCCAUAAAUUAAAAGCUUAAGGAAUGCUACCCUCUUUAAAAUGUAAUUUUGAUUUUUUUGGUGGUUUAAUUCAAUCCAGAGCCAAGGGAGGCCUUGCUUAUGUCACUGACAGCAAACUGCUACGUGAACAGUACUACGUGCUCUAACAGCUGUUGCAAAAAUCAAAAAUGAAAGUCUGCCCUCUUCCUUAGCAGUCUGCCACCGAUGGACAGACACAAAAAGAAACGAGGAGAAAGGGCUCAAGUUUUAUAUGUGGAAAACUUCAAAUCCCAAGUGAAAACCACUGGCCAGCAGCUGCACGACAGAGGCGCUGGACCUCAUCGGACGCGGAGCAGUUACCGCUGUGCCAACAGCCAGGGUGCCGUACCCGAGGAAGGCCAGGCUCCACCACAGACACCCUGGAUCCUACACAAAUAGGAACUCUGGAUCCAUGUAAAGAGAAAGGAGCCAGCCCAAGGCUCAGGACAGGCUUCUAAAGCUCAGUAAAACGUGGGGGAUAAAUAUAUACUUGGCUGAUACUUCAUCACCACAAAGCUUCUCUGCUGGAACAAAAAAUAUGCAGAGCUCUGAAUUCAAAAUGUCUGAGACCAAAAAGAGACUUCAGUGUCGAAUGCUGCCGCACCCCUCAGCAUCACUGACAGCCCCGCAGCGGGACGGACACAACGCACACCACCCCCCUAUCCCCAGCGUCACAGGGACUCCAGUCCUUCCAGCAGAACCACUGCAUCGUUUUUCACUUCAUUUUUUUUUUUUUUUUUUCCCAUCUCCUUCACAUGAAGUUGCAGGAUGUCCACACUCUGCUGUUACAGACUUGACAAGGCAGUAGCCUGGAAUUACUCAUUUUCGCAGUUCUUUCACUAAAGAUGUCUCGCCCUGAUUUUGAGGGAGCACUAACGAUUCUAUCAGCAAUACAGAGCCUUGCUGGGCAGGCAGCUGUGCAAAAGUGCCUCCGAAAAAUAGCUGCGAGUGAAGAAGGGAUGGACCAUCCUUCCGCUUUUUCAAAAAGGGAAGUCAAGAGCCAGCUGAAGACCCGGGGAAAGCUGCAUGAACUCAUUUCCCCGUUCUGAACAUUUCUAGCAGCAAUCGCGAAACCGGCCGCUGCCCUGAUAACAACCUAUUUAUGGAGGUACAUUAACUGAGCAUGUCUAUUAAAGUAAUCACCAGUGAACUCUGUCCGUGGUUACAAUCUGGGACAGUGCCCAUACAGCUGAGAGCAGGUACGUUACAUCAACAGGCUCGUUCCCCUGGGACUGAGAAAGGGGCUGUUUGCUGAGGCAGGAAGGCAGCGCUGCCUCGGUCACCACCGGUUCCCAUAUGGAGAGCUGGAAGGUACAACCAGGACCGGUGUUUUCAAAAUCAUCACGGAGCUAACCCUGCUCCUGCUGACAUGGAUGGCACACCGCCUGAAUGCUUAAGUGGCAGCACCUAGAUCUGCACGGAGCAAUCGUGAAAACGCAAGCACGUGUCCUACAGCUCUCCCUCGCCUCCAGAAUGACAGAGCAUGUGCUGCUCUGAAUUCAUCUGCUGAAUUUCAGGUUGCUCCCAGGCAACAGACACUGUACCCAGUUGAAUUUAAGACUUCAAAAUUUUCCUUGAAGACACAACAACCUCACCCACCCGGAGCUGGAAUCCUGUCUGAAAGGCAUGACUGGAACUUACUUCCUUCACUGAAAUGAGUAACUAUGCUAGAGCAUGUUCUACUCGCCUACAGAAUUACUGCUAGGACUUCAUUUGCUGUAAAAUAGGUAAAUGUACACUGCAUGGACAGCCAUGAAAAGCAUCAGAAAGGUCUUUAUUUCUUAAUCAGGGAAUAAGGUUCACCAUUUGUGCAUAAUGCAGUCAUCCCAAAUUCAUGCCAAUAAAAGAGAAACCUUUACAAUAA